CGCGGGGUGGAGCAGCCUGGUAGCUCGUCGGGCUCAUAACCCGAAGGUCGUCGGUUCAAAUCCGGCCACCGCAACCA
rnacentral:tRNA from 5 species